rnacentral:rRNA from 1 species
AUUGAACGCUGGCGGCAGGCCUAACACAUGCAAGUCGAGCGGAUGAAGGGAGCUUGCUCCUGGAUUCAGCGGCGGACGGGUGAGUAAUGCCUAGGAAUCUGCCUGGUAGUGGGUGAUAACGUCCGGAAACGGGCGCUAAUACCGCAUACGUCCUGAGGGAGAAAGUGGGGGUUCUUCGGACCUCACGCUCUCAGAUGAGCCUAGGUCGGAUUAGCUAGUUGGUGUGGUAAAGGCCUACCAAGGCGACGAUCCGUAACUGGUCUGAGAGGAUGAUCAGUCAAACUGGAACUGAGACACGGUCCAGACUCCUACGGGAGGAAGCAGUGGGGAAUAUUGGACAAUGGGCGAAAGCAUGAUCCAGCAAUGCCGCGUGUGUGAAGAAGGUCUUCGGAUUGUAAAGCACUUUAAGUUGGGAGGAAGGGAAGUAAGUUAAUACCUUGCUGUUUUGACGUUACCAACAGAAUAAGCACCGGCUAACUUCGUG